rnacentral:rRNA from 1 species
UGGGGAAUUUUGGGCAAUGGGGGCAACCCUGAUCCAGCCAUGCCGCGUGCGGGAAGAAGGCCUUCGGGUUGUAAACCGCUUUCGGCCGGAACGAAAUCGCCGGGGAGAACACCCCCGGUGGAUGACGGUACCGGAAGAAGAAGCACCGGCUAACUACGUGCCAGCAGCCGCGGUAAUACGUAGGGUGCGAGCGUUAAUCGGAAUUACUGGGCGUAAAGCGUGCGCAGGCGGUUCGCUAAGACAGAUGUGAAAGCCCCGGGCUUAACCUGGGAACUGCGUUUGUGACUGGCGGGCUGGAGUGCGGAAGAGGGAGGUGGAAUUCCACGUGUAGCAGUGAAAUGCGUAGAGAUGUGGAGGAACACCGAUGGCGAAGGCAGCCUCCUGGUCUAGCACUGACGCUCAUGCACGAAAGCGUGGGGAGCAAACAG